GCCGCUGUAGCUCAACGGAUAGAGCAGUCCCGUCCUAAGGGAAAGGUUGGGGGUUCGAUUCCCUCUAGCGGCG
rnacentral:tRNA from 6 species